UUGCAGGCCUGGGCGCCGGGGUUGGACCAGUCUCCCGGGCAUGGCACGCCCUGGUUUGGUGUGUACCCAUGGUUUGUGGCGGGGCAAGACGUUAAGUUGGGUGACACCGAGGUGAGCCACGGUCCUUGGCACCAGAUGAGGAACCACUGUCUCAAUAAGGUCUCAGUGCUGUGUGUGUAAUGGUUACCGUGAGAGCUUCCCUGCAAUCCGAAUUUGUGUGUCUCAUUCUCAGUGACACCAGUGAUGCUGUUAAACAAGGACAGUCCGGUUCAUGGAUUGUGACAACGCACGCUGACAUCAAGCAGACCCUGCCGUCAGGUACAGAGGGCACCACAGUGACCAGGAACUGCUGUCCUUUCAUACCAGGUUUUAGGAGACUUUACCAGAAGGAAUGGAAAAUGCUGGUGGGCAGUAAGAUUGAAACAGCAUCUGAGGACUGGUUCUGCACAAAACCUUAAAUUCUUCAAGGACUUUGACAUUUGUUUAUUCUUGUAACAAAUUAAAACCUAUCCUGUGUGUUGGUUAGAGAUCUUCAAACUGUAAAUACCUUGAGGCAGGAGUGAGGUUUUUAUCUUCUAAAGGACAGGCCCCUACUCUCCUACGUAAUGAGUUUCUAAAAAUGGAUGUGAGCACCAAUCAAUAUUUCUCUGGUUGUUAAAGUCAAGAAUAAAAUGGUAUUUUUAAGCUUGCAACUGUGUAGGAUGAAUUCUGUACACUUUUAUUUCCCUCUGUUCUCCUUUCCUAUUUGAAAGUUUAUUAGUUUGUGGACUUGGGAUCAGAUUAUUCAUGCAUUAUUUUUUGAUGUU
rnacentral:lncRNA from 1 species